ensembl:lncRNA
GAUGAUUUCUGUAAAUGCAGUGGUCAGCUGACUAAUGACUGGACUCUGAAGACUGAAGACUUUCUGAGUUUAUAGAAGCGGUGGAUAUUUCAGGAAGGAACAUUUAAAAGAUGGAAAAGAGGAAUUAGGGAGAAUCAAUGAAUAAAAGGGACAUCAUUUGUAUGAAUAAUAUGUAAACGUGAUCCAUAAAAAGUAACUGUAGUCUGAUUCUGAGUAUUUUACAUUUUUAAAGUAAGUACUUAAUUAAAUAACUCAGAUUAAAUUUAAUCAGUUUCUACCCAGCUCUGAUGAUAUAAUAUUAUAAUAUUACUGCAGAAACACUAGAUUACAGAUAUUCUAUAAUAUUGUAAUAUUGUUAAUAUGUAGUAAUAUUAGAGCUGUUUUUCAGGUUCACCUGCGGUCAGGAGAUCAGUGUGGUUAACUCUCAUGAUGCUGAUCAGUGCUGUAUUGGUCUAUUUCUACAUCACAGCUCUGGAAAAUGAAAAGGAUCGUGUCGGAUGGACCUGUGUGAUUGUGUUUCUCCAGUCUCUCUGGGCACUGGUCAACUUCACAUGGUCAUUUACAUUCGCUCUUCCCAGUGUUGUAGCUGUGUAUGUGUUUGGUUCAGUCGGUGUUGUGUUACUGAACUCUGUUGCUCUGAUGACUGAACUGAUCCUGAAAACAGUUAACGGUGAAGGAGCGACGGGAGACAUGAGGAUCAUCGUCUUCUCCUCUGAAUUACUCUUCAUUUUAUUUCUGAUGAUUUUAAUGGUAUUUGAACCCUGUGAGUAUAACUGAACAUUAAUUACAUUCACUUCAGGUGUUUUAUUAUUUUCAUUUAAAUAUAUGAUCUUUAGGAUGCGUCACUUCUAGAGAUAUUUCUACUGUGUUUCUACUGAUUGUGACUCAGUGAUGCUGUUUGUUCAGUCAUUUCUGAACUGAACUGAAGCUCUUCAUCUUCAUCACUCUCUGAACACCAUUAAAUUAAUUCUCAUGUAUCCAGACGGCGAUCUGAGGGUUUAUUUGAUUCGUUCUGAGACUGGUGUGUUAUUGAGUGUGAUGUGUCUGAAUCUGAUCAGAUCUGAAUGAUGCUGUAAAUCUCUUUCCUCACAGGGAUCACACCGUGUCUGCAGUCUUGUACGGUGAGUGUCAGAAACCAGAUGUGAUUCAUUCUCCUGCAGUGAGUUUAAGGUGCUGUUGGUGAUUUAAUGUUUCUCUGAGUAUUUAAAUACCUGUAAUUUUACUCAAUUAUAUUUGCAGGGAGAUGACUAGAUACUUGGAUAUUUAACUGAGUAAAAUUAAGUACAAUUUAUAUAAAUAAAAAGCACUUUGUGCAGCUGUCCUGAGGGUUU